rnacentral:tRNA from 1 species
GAGGGUAUAGGUCAGUGGUAGAGUAAAUGCUUAGCAUGCACAAGGUCCUGGGUUUAAUCCCCAGUACUUCCA